UUCCUCUUCGUUUUUUUCUCCUCUUUCUAUUCUAAACAACUGAAAUUUAUAAGAUCCGUCGCUGCAACAGAAUCUUCACCUCCGUUUCAAGGAAUUUGUGGGCAAUCAAUGACGGAGAUGAAGAAUUGAGUUGGUUGUUUUCACUUCCUCGAUUAGUUCAAAGAGGAAAAUUUACAAGUCUCUGAAGUUCAGUUCAUUAGUUUCAAGUAUGGAUUUUGCUAUAAUCGAGGUUGACUGAUAUCAGCUAAGGUAUGUAGUAGAGAUGCACUUAACUUCAUGGCAACAUGGUUUAAAAUUGCUGAUUAAAGGGCGUGUGAUGCUAAAUUAAGAGGAUUCAUCCCUUUUUCAUCCCAUUCAUGGGUCAUAAAGAAAGUUCUACAAGAGUUCUGUAGCAUGAUGAUCGUCUUGGGCUGCAGUUAGUCUGGUGCGACAGGAACCGUUCAGAUGAAGAUGAUUCAAACAUAUCUUGGCCUUUAAGGUGACACUGCAAGGUGGAUCAAAGGCAGACACCGUUGAUACUGGGGCUGCUGCGAGCUACUAUGAGUGUCCUUUGUUUGUUAACGGUUGCGGCGAUAUAUUGGUGGACACUAAAACUGGAAAUUACAUGGGCACCGGGGACAGAUAGUUUUGAAAGGCAGACACCACUGUUUUGUUGCUUUUACUACACUUCACAUUUUGUGGAUUUGUGCUUGAGAAACUUGAUUGGGAACACUUGCUGCAAAGUGUAUGUAUACAAGAACUCUGGUAAUUUAUAAAAAGAUUUUUCAAGAAA